rnacentral:lncRNA from 1 species
CCACAAGGCCGCUGAAGGCCAGUUAGAACGUGACCCUCUACCCACAUCUGCCCAGCAUCCUCAGGGAAGCCUUCCUGGCCGCAAGUGGUCUGAGCCAACACCACUAUCACCGCCCACUGCGCCACUGCUAUCACCAACUUCCUGAUGAGGAAUGUCCACGAGCACAGACUCGCUGCUCUCCAUUCGUGACAGCUCAGAGGCCUUUUUAGAAGGGGGGCUUCAUGUGAGUUUUGGCUGCGUUCUGCAAGGAAGGUUUCUAGGGGCCUCAGGAAGAUACCCCACGCUGUGAGAGGGGUGGACCACAGGCCUAGGAGCCCUCAGCUCUGGCAGAGAAACCUUCACCAGGCCCCCCCGGACACCUGAGCUGUCCUGAUCAGAUCACCGUGUGAACAUGUCUAGGCGCCUUAUCGCGAAGGCCAGCACAGUCUGCACGAGAAAGAAAAUAGUGUCUGCAGCGCGAAAAAUUACAUCUUGAUAAAAUAUCCCUUUGGAAUGGCGUUGUGUGUGGGUCUCUUAUCAGCAGGCGACUGGGCCCCACAUACCUCUCGUCUGACUGUCCCCAGGCCCCCAGCCCUCUUU